UAAGGUUUAGUGUUUAGUGCACAUCUCCCUUUUAAGGAGAAGGUAAAACUUUGGUUUUGGCCUUGA
rnacentral:tRNA from 1 species